GCAAGUCGNACGAUGAAGCCCUUCGGGGUGGAUUAGUGGCGAACGGGUGAGUAACACGUGGGCAAUCUGCCCUUCACUCUGGGACAAGCCCUGGAAACGGGGUCUAAUACCGGAUAACACUCCUGCCUGCAUGGGCGGGGGUUAAAAGCUCCGGCGGUGAAGGAUGAGCCCGCGGCCUAUCAGCUUGUUGGUGGGGUAAUGGCCCACCAAGGCGACGACGGGUAGCCGGCCUGAGAGGGCGACCGGCCACACUGGGACUGAGACACGGCCCAGACUCCUACGGGAGGCAGCAGUGGGGAAUAUUGCACAAUGGGCGAAAGCCUGAUGCAGCGACGCCGCGUGAGGGAUGACGGCCUUCGGGUUGUAAACCUCUUUCAGCAGGGAAGAAGCGAAAGUGACGGUACCUGCAGAAGAAGCGCCGGCUAACUACGUGCCAGCAGCCGCGGUAAUACGUAGGGCGCAAGCGUUGUCCGGAAUUAUUGGGCGUAAAGAGCUCGUAGGCGGCUUGUCACGUCGGAUGUGAAAGCCCGAGGCUUAACCUCGGGUCUGCAUUCGAUACGGGCUAGCUAGAGUGUGGUAGGGGAGAUCGGAAUUCCUGGUGUAGCGGUGAAAUGCGCAGAUAUCAGGAGGAACACCGGUGGCGAAGGCGGAUCUCUGGGCCAUUACUGACGCUGAGGAGCGAAAGCGUGGGGAGCGAACAGGAUUAGAUACCCUGGUAGUCCACGCCGUAAACGUUGGGAACUAGGUGUUGGCGACAUUCCACGUCGUCGGUGCCGCAGCUAACGCAUUAAGUUCCCCGCCUGGGGAGUAC
rnacentral:rRNA from 1 species